UACGGAGGUGGCAAGCGUUGCUCGGAAUCACUGGGCGUAAAGGGCGCGUAGGCGGGGAGGUAAGUCGGGUGUGAAAGUCCCUACGGCCCAACCGAGGAACUGCGCCCGAGACUGCUUCUCUUGAGUCCCGGAGAGGAAGGUGGAAUUCCCGGUGUAGCGGUGAAAUGUGUAGAGAUCGGGAGGAACACCGGUGGCAAAGGCGGCCUUCUGGACGGUGACUGACGCUGAGGCGCGAAAGCUAGGGGAGCAAACGGG
rnacentral:rRNA from 1 species